AGAACGAACGCUGGCGGCAUGCCUAACACAUGCAAGUCGCACGAGAAAGGGUAGCAAUACCUGAGUACAGUGGCGCACGGGUGAGUAACACGUGAAUAAUCUACCUCCGAGUGGGGAAUAACCUAGGGAAACCUGGGCUAAUACCGCAUAACACUUACGAGUCAAAGCAGCAAUGCGCUUGGAGAGGAGUUCGCGGCAGAUUAGCUAGUUGGUGGGGUAAUGGCCCACAAGGCGAUGAUCUGUA
rnacentral:rRNA from 1 species